rnacentral:rRNA from 1 species
AUGUCAUCAUCCUCCUCCUCCGGUGCUUCCCAGACCACCCUCAAUGGGCAGGUCACCGAGAAGCUAACACGCACAAACUACGUGCUCUGGCGCACGCAGGUCACUCCCCAUCUGCGCGGCACCGGCGUCUUCGGCUACGUCGACGGCACCACACCGGAGCCGGCCAGACUUCAUGUCACCAAGGACAAGGAUGGCAAAGAAAGCGCUGAGCCCAACCCUCUCCACCCAAUCUGGGUCCGGGAGGAUCAACAGGUGUUGGGCUACCUGCUCAGCACCCUCUCCAAGGAGGUACUGAUCGUGGUGACCACG